AGGCACAUACACGGAUAUUCUGCAUAAUUUCACAGAGGUUACAACAAACGUCGUUAACAAACGAUUGCGUGUGACUAAUUAAAUCACGUUUGAUGUUGAGCAAAUUGCUCGUAAUCGCUACUACGUUACGGGCUAAUGAAUUCUCGGAGUAAUUAUUCACAGCGUGGCAAAUAAUUCGGGGAAUUUGAGGGAUUCGGUCAGGCAAGAAAUUAGACUAUGUAUCACUGUGAUGUUUUAUUGUCUUUCUAGGAUGUGGAGAAAGGGAGGUUGGAUUUUAAGCGGUAAAUGACACACUCCAUAUCCUCUGAUGACGUCGUGGCCGAAGAUAUCCAAGCCAUAAACAGACAUUAUUAACUGAGGCCCUAAGACACCAUUUUACAAAGGGUUCGGGGCUUCGAUUUCCUCAAGUACGUAAAUCGAGUAUCAUUGAAUCCACUCACAUCCAUGCGGGUUGGUACUCUUGAACGUGACUUCUAACGGAAAAUUCCAGACUGCCAGAUUUCGUGGAUCGCUGCUGCAUUUGCAUAUCUGCGUCAAACCUUCCUCGAUACCCUAAACGGGGUUGCACAAGUCACUAAACGAUCGACGAUAAAAUUCCGCCUUUGAAAUCGAUAGAACACUGCGUCUAGUCGACGCAACAGCGUGUCAGAUAGUAGGCGUUGUCAACAUCGUAAAACUCCGCGUGUUCGAUGGAUCCUGUGAUCGAGAGGAAGAAUUCACCUUCGACUGACAUGACCA
rnacentral:lncRNA from 1 species